GACGAACCGUGCGAACGUUAUUCGGAAUCACUGGGCUUAAAGGGCGCGUAGGCGGGCCUGAAAGUCAGGGGUGAAAGCCCCCAGCUUAACUGGGGAAGUGCCUCUGAUACUUCAGGCCUCGAGGGAGGUAGGGGCGUGCGGAACUUCCGGUGGAGCGGUGGAAUGCGUAGAUAUCGGAAGGAACGUCGGUGGCGAAAGCGGCGCGCUGGACCUCUUCUGACGCUGAGGCGCGAAAGCCAGGGGAGCGAACGGG
rnacentral:rRNA from 1 species